rnacentral:tRNA from 1 species
GGGGAUACGCCGGAGUUGGAGAGCCGGGGCAGACUGUAAAUCUGUUGUCUACGACUGAAUAGGUUCGAAUCCUAUUAUCCCCA